rnacentral:rRNA from 1 species
UACGAAGGGGGCUAGCGUUGCUCGGAAUCACUGGGCGUAAAGCGCACGUAGGCGGAUUGCUAAGUCAGGGGUGAAAUCCUGGAGCUCAACUCCAGAACUGCCUUUGAUACUGGCGAUCUCGAGUCCGGGAGAGGUGAGUGGAACUGCGAGUGUAGAGGUGAAAUUCGUAGAUAUUCGGAAGAACACCAGUGGCGAAGGCGGCUCACUGGUCCGGUACUGACGCUGAGGUGCGAAAGCGUGGGGAGCAAACAGG